rnacentral:rRNA from 1 species
UGGGGAAUAUUGCACAAUGGGCGCAAGCCUGAUGCAGCAACGCCGCGUGAACGAUGAAGGUCUUCGGAUCGUAAAGUUCUGUUGUAGGGGAAGAUAAUGACGGUAACCGGAGAAGAAGCCCCGGCUAACUUCGUGCCAGCAGCCGCGGUAAUACGAAGGGGGCUAGCGUUGUUCGGAUUUACUGGGCGUAAAGCGCACGUAGGCGGACUAUUAAGUCAGGGGUGAAAUCCCGGGGCUCAACCCCGGAACUGCCUUUGAUACUGGUAGUCUUGAGUUCGAGAGAGGUGAGUGGAAUUCCGAGUGUAGAGGUGAAAUUCGUAGAUAUUCGGAGGAACACCAGUGGCGAAGGCGGCUCACUGGCUCGAUACUGACGCUGAGGUGCGAAAGCGUGGGGAGCAAACAGG